rnacentral:rRNA from 1 species
CCUACGGGUGGCUGCAGUGGGGAAUAUUGCGCAAUGGGCGAAAGCCUGACGCAGCGACGCCGCGUGAGGGAUGAAGGUCUUCGGAUCGUAAACCUCUGUCAGCAGGGAAGAACGGUCACUGUGCUAAUCAGCAGUGAAUUGACGGUCCCUGCAAAGGAAGCACCGGCUAACUCCGUGCCAGCAGCCGCGGUAAUACGGAGGGUGCGAGCGUUAAUCGGAAUUACUGGGCGUAAAGCGCUCGUAGGCGGUUUGGCAAGGCAAGGGUGAAAUCCGCGCGCUCAACGUGGGAACUGCCUUUGAAACUGGCAGACUGGAGUGUGGGAGAGGAAAGUGGAAUUCCAGGUGUAGGGGUGAAAGCCGUAGAUAUCAGGAGGAACAUCAGUGGCGAAGGCGACUAUCUGGAACAUAACUGACGCUGAGGAGCGAAAGCGUGGGUAGCAAACAGGAUUAGAUACCCGAGUAGUC